CCCUCCCUCCCAGACCCUCCCACCUCCUGGACAGCAUCAAUCUUGAAGCUGCAUUCUUAGUGAGCUGUCCAGGAGGUGGGAGGGUCUGGGAGGGAGGG